rnacentral:rRNA from 1 species
AUAGAAUAAUGUAUGUAAGGGAAGUCGGCAAAUUAGAUCCGUAACUUCGGGAUAAGGAUUGGCUCUGAAGAUUGAGAUAGUCGGGCUUGAUUGGGAAGCAAUAAUAUGGUUUAUGUACUCGUUCUGGGUAAAUUAGAAUGAAGUUUAUAUGUGUAAAACAUAUGAAUGGAGUUUGUUCCCCGGAUAGUAAGUUACGUAACCAAUUGCGGAACUUUCUUGCUAAUGAUAUACUAGCAUAUUGGAAUUUUUUAAAUUCUAGUUGUUAUAUAUUUAAACGGCUAUCAAUUAACAAUCAAUUCAGAACUGGCACGGACUUGGGAAUCCGACUGUCUAAUUAAAACAAAGCAUUGUGAUGGCCCUAACGGGUGUUGACACAAUGUGAUUUCUGCCCAGUGCUCUGAAUGUCAAAGUGAAGAAAUUCAAGUAAGCGCGGGUAAACGGCGGGAGUAACUAUGACUCUCUUAAGGUAGCCAAAUGCCUCGUCAUCUAAUUGGUGACGCGCAUAAAUGGAUUAACGG